rnacentral:rRNA from 1 species
AGUGAACGCUGGCGGUAGGCCUAACACAUGCAAGUCGAACGGCAGCACAGUAAGAGCUUGCUCUUACGGGUGGCGAGUGGCGGACGGGUGAGGAAUACAUCGGAAUCUACUUUUUCGUGGGGGAUAACGUAGGGAAACUUACGCUAAUACCGCAUGCGACCUACGGGUGAAAGCAGGGGAUCUUCGGACCUUGCGCGAUUGAAUGAGCCGAUGUCGGAUUAGCUAGUUGGCGGGGUAAAGGCCCACCAAGGCGACGAUCCGUAGCUGGUCUGAGAGGAUGAUCAGCCACACUGGAACUGAGACACGGUCCAGACUCCUACGGGAGGCAGCAGUGGGGAAUAUUGGACAAUGGGCGCAAGCCUGAUCCAGCCAUACCGCGUGGGUGAAGAAGGCCCUCGGGUUGUAAAGCCCUUUUGUUGGGAAAGAAAAGCAGCAGGUUAAUACCCCGCUGUUCUGACGGUACCCAAAGAAUAAGCACCGGCUAACUUCGUG